rnacentral:rRNA from 1 species
UGCCAGCCGCCGCGGUAAUACGGAGGGUGCAAGCAUUAAUCGGAUUUAUUGGGCGUAAAGAGCGCGUAGGCGGAGAUGUAAGUCAGACGUGAAAUCCCGGGGCUCAACCCCGGAACUGCAUUUGAAACUGCAUCCCUAGAGGGUAGGCGGAGAAAACGGAAUUCCACAUGUAGCGGUGAAAUGCGUAGAUAUGUGGAGGAACACCGGUGGCGAAGGCGGUUUUCUAGCUUACUCCUGACGCUGAGGCGCGAAAGCAAGGGGAGCGAACAGGAUUAGAUA